CAGCCUGCAGAAAUGAGAGCCACAGCCCAGCAGUGACUUUCUCAAGAUUUCAAAGCACACAUACUUCUAUAACGCUAAUGACAUCUCUUUGGAACCUGUAGGUUUGAGCGCAGAGCACAUGUGAACUUUUAUAUUUCAAGAACUGAAUUUAGUUAUAACCAGUGGCUAAUUUUCCUAACGCACCUCCAAAGAAUGACUGACAAGAGUGCAGGAUUGAGACGGGAAACAUGGGCUUUGGAGCCAGGCAGCUGUAGGCUCAAAACUUAACCUGGUCGCCUUGUGGCCUCAGAUGGCUGCACUGUGGAAAAAUACUGGCUAUGUUCCUCUAGACCAACAGGGGGCGCUGGAUCACUGUGCUGCUGCUUCAGAUGUCAGCUACAACGAGGGAAGGAGGCAACGUCCCAGCUUGUCUCCCAGGGCCCCAUUUUCACUCACUCUGCUAGCUCGUAUCGGAACCUCCAGUUCCUGCUGCUGUCCGUCACUACAAACUCCUGCAGCUGGCGGAGGUGCUCUCUCCUCCUGUCCUCGUGGAGCAGCUGUUGAAAAUACAGCUCCAUAAGUGACAUGCCAGCCUCAAGGUGACCUCUGGGUAAGCCAGUUCACCCCUGGGGACCUUGGACUUUGCCAUCAAGAACCCUUCAUAAGAAGCACAGCCCUACUGGGUCCAAGCAGCAGCAGAGGAACAAACAAACCUGUACUUUAGAUCUAUUCUCCUCAAGUGCGGUAGGUUCCUGCCUCUGCUCCGUCUCCAGGUGCUCACUGCUUCUAUUCUGAGGUUCAGUUUGAUCCUGUAGAGUUGAUGGGACAUGUCACCAACUGAUACCAAAGGAGGACAGCGUCUUCAUCCACCCCCAUCCAAGGAACCGUCCUUCAUGUCAGAAACAACAAGUGCAUUUUUUGAGGGGCAUGGCAUUUCUCCUGACACCAGAACGUGCACUUCUGCAUAGCGGCAGGCUCUGCACACGGUCCAGUCUCUACCUGUGCUCUGGAGAAGGACCUCACUGCAGCUGCAAGGCUGCCUUACAGGCAGCCAUGCUGACUGUUAAAGCCGGUGAGGAACAACAGUGUGGGAUGGCAUCUGCCACUCUUUUAAGGCCUGGGUCUCCUUUGUGUGGUCAACCAGCAGCCUUUAAGACAGCUACAGAAAGAGGGGUAAGGACGGAUUUUCAGAAAAGACAGAGCAGGACCUGCAGUCUUGGCUUGGAGACAGGCUGCAAUGCAGGUGGCAGGCAUGGCAGUGAGGGAGCAGUGGCCUAGAGAGAAGGUUCGGUCAGCAGGGGACUAUUUACUCAGUAAACUGUUCUGUACUCUCACAUGUGUAAAUACUCCUAAUGUUUGCUGAUGAACCUGUGCAUUAGGUUAACAAUUAAAAUGAGCAGGAACAUUCAAUGGU